rnacentral:lncRNA from 1 species
UUGAUAGUUUGGCGGCUAGGGUUGAGAGAAGGGCAGCGGGAAAGAAACUAGAAGAAGAAAGGCAGGAGUGAAAAAACAAGGAUUUUGGGGAGAAGAAAAAAGGAAACCGAGGGAGAAAGGGAGGAGCUUCGGGAAAGUAGGAGAAAAAGGAAAAAACCAGAAAGCAAGGGAGAAGGAAGGGCUGCGGAAAAGGAACAAACAGCAAGAAAGAAGGAAAAAGAGGAAGGAAAAGAGCGUUUUGUGGGAGGAGGUAUAGGGACGGCGACUGGGGAACCAGAAAAGAGAAGAACAAAGCAACAAAAACUAGAGAGAAUAGGAAGAUCGAGGGAGAUUCAAAGGGAGUGAAGGGAGUCUUUGAAAUCUGGGACAUCUCACGUUCAUUUUACUUCGUCAGGGUCCAAAGGUAACUAUCGUUUCUUCCUUGUUGAUCUAACAAGAUUUUAUGAGAACUCAAGCCCGGGGACAUGAAUCUUGGACUGUUUGUUGAUGGUUUGAACUUUCGUUGGUAUCAAAACUUUGCCAUGCUUGUGUGUUUGAUAACCUCUGAUUCGGUAGAAGGUCAUGGGAUGAUUGCAGGUUUGGGGUUUGGCAGGCUUGAACUUUGCCAUGCUUGAACUUUUGAAAGGAAACGGGUUUGGAGUUUUCUAUAGUUUUUUUAUCUGAUGAAUCCGUGGGGUUUUGCCUGAGACAUGGCUGGUUUUUGUGUUUGAAAACGAUAAACCCAGAAGAUUGCAAAAUUUUCUUUUCUCGCAAAAGAUUUUCCUGUUUGUAUGAUGAGUUUCUGUAAUUUUGAUGCAUUCGAAAAUUUUGCAUUUCCUCUUCAUGGUUGAGCUUGUCCUUGUCUUUUCUCUGAUUAACUAUCAUGUUUAUGGUUGUUUGGUUUAGAAAAUGUCCAGUCAAAGUUUUCCUAGAAGGAUGGAGUCUUGUUUAAGUCAGUUUUUCGAACCUGUGGGUUUCCCAUGAAGAUAGAUAGCAAACCAUCCGCUAGUUUGUAUGCACCGCUUUCUCUUGUCUAUUUCUAUUGUUUCAUGGGUUCUCUUUGUUUCAUGCCUUGCUCUGACUAACCUGCUGAAUGUUAAGAUUCUCUUUGAUGAAUGUGAGUCAUGCCCAGAAUGCAUACAACAAAAGUUUGCUGGUCUGCACUUGCAUUCGCUGAUGUGUUUCCCCAUUCCUUCUUUGAUUACUUGCAUGUCCACGUUUCUGUCCUUGUUCUCCUGGCUCGCAUUUGUUUGCAUUGAAGUUUACCAUUUGGUUGAUGAUUGUUUCACCAUGUCGGUUUCCAGUUCUCUAAGAGUAUAAAAAAUUUCGCUGUUCAUUUUUGCUCACUUGCUGUUUUUAUGCUCGCUCGAUAGUGUUGUUUUUUGCCCUCACUUUCCUCUUGCUGUGAGCAAGUUACCUUGAGCCCAUAAAGCAAAAACUUGGUCAAAAGUUGGGGGGAGCUUCCUGACUUGUUGCAGCAGUAGACAUUGUCCUGCAAUGCUGAAACGUUAGCUGCUCCAAGUUCAGGUCCCUUUGCUGAAUUUUAUGUUCAGCUUCCUUGUUGGAUUUUUUGGGGGGUAGACAAUUGCAUUUGGGCGAUGUUAACAACAUGGGUUGGAAGUUAUAGCAGUGGGGUUUGGUAAAUAAAUCGAUAGGCUUUACAUGAGCAUGUUUCGGCUGCAUAAGAGAAGUUGCAGAACGAAUGGUGGCUGGAAUCUGCAGAAAGCAUAAGCUUCUUCGUGGGUUUGCAUGGAAAUUUUUUUUAAAAAAAUACAUUCUAACCCCUCAAGUUUCCCCUUGUUUCACUACGGCCCAAAAUUUGGAAAAACAUGAUCAAUUUUGUCACUUCAAAAUCUUAAUUGCUUUUGGCAUGUUUUAUUAUGAUCUUUGAGUACAUUAUUUGUAAAUUUUAGGAUGAAUUUUAAAGGCUUAAUAACUUUUGAUAAAUUUAUAGUUUGAUUUGUUUUUAGUAAAAUAAUUAGGAAUUUUGGGUAAUUUUCUUGUUUAACUUUUUUGUGAAUUUUAGCAUUUGGGUUUUGGUAGGUUUCAUCUUAAGCCCUAAAUUUUGUUUAAAUCCUUAAUUUUUGUAAUAAUAAUGAGUUAAUCCCUCAAACUUCUUUAAUUCUUUCAAUUGGGUCCUCGCUUGUCUUAAUUUGAUGAAUAUGGGUUGUUUACUUUCGUUUGAAUGCUUUAAUUGGUUCAAUCUCAUGUUUAUUUUCAUUUCUUGUGAUUAUUUGUUAAUUAAAGUGAUGCUUUGACCUUUUUCUUUGUUUUGGAGGGUACACAAGAAAAAUUUCAUUUCAUUAGGUCACCAAUUCAAGGGAGGUACACUCUAUUCCUUUAUUUUGAUUUUACUUUAUCCUAUGUGCUACUAUGUGAUUUUAUGUGUGUAAUUGCAUGUUUUUUUUAAUAUUUUUUAUUUCAUCUAUUUAUUUAUUCAUUUCAUUUGUUUUAAUUUUGUAUAUUUAUUUUAAUUUAAUUUUUAGUUAUUUGAGAGGCAUUUAAAUGCCAAAUUGUAAUAGUUAGGUUGUUAUUUCAUUUCAUUUCAUUCUUUCUCCUUUUAGAUUGUAGUUAGGGCCCCCAAAAUAGUUAGGUCUUUAUUCGCUUUAUUUGCUUUGUGUGUUUUGCGUGCUUGUGUGUUACGUGUUACUCGAUUUCUUAGGGUCUUGCAUCUAGAUAUCAUGCUUAUGUGCUACGUGUUUAUGUGAUCUUAUGUGUUUACUUGCUUUGGUUAUGUUUUAUAUGAUUGGUUUAGUUAUAAUCAAUGUGUGACGUCACCACACUAGUCCAACGCUAGUUGUGGCCCUAUUUCCCUUUUUUCUCACUAGUCCAAUGCUAGUGAGAACUCAUAGACAUGGACUAGUCCAACGCUAGACUCUUAGGGACCGUUCACACUUUAGACCAUGUUUGUGUGACAAAAUCACUACAUUUUCAUGCAUAUUUUUACUUUUUAGGUUUUUUUUUUCAUUUGGCAUGAUAUUUCCCCCAUAUGUAUGACCCUUACCCCUUAUAUUCCCCAUAUGUAUAUCCCUUAUUCCAUAUUCCCCCUAUAUAUAUAUAUCUCUUAUCCCCAUAUGCGAUAGAUGACGUUAGACUUGCAUUCCAUUUAAGAAUUAGAACUAGGUUAGUACAUUUGCAUGAUUAGAUAGGAGAAAUACCCCUCGAAUAUGGGAUAUGGACGAGUUUGGCUUUCUAACCUUAGCAUGCUCAUAUUCCCUCUAUAAAAAGGGAAAAUCUAGUCACGAAUCUUAGUUCCCCGCACCCGUUAUGAUGUAUUCCUUUAGGUCAUGUAUAUGUGUAUAUUAUUAUUUUCCUUUCUUUUCUUAGAAUCUCAUAUUUGUGCAUAUUCGUGAUCUCUUCGAAGACUCAUUCUUGGGUAUCACAAUUAAUGUGAUUUGCACCAAUUAAGCUUUGAAGAGAUAUUUCGACUCCCCGAUAUCCUUCUCGGUUUAGGUUUUGCAUCCAUAUGUGAUAAAUUUUUAGGUUAAAAAUAAAAAAAUCUUUGACUAAAUCACUCAACUAGCUUUGGCUAGGUUGAAAGGGUGUUUUGGAUUUUAUCCUUGCCUUCCAUUUCUUCAAAUGUGACUCCCGAACACUUUUCUUUGAUUUUCGAAGACUUGGAAUCGUUUAAAAAAGGGUUUUCUCUACUUUUCAUUUUAAAAUUUAUUUUAGAUGACUUGGUACACCUUAACUCAAUAUCAAGUGACGACUCCUAUUUUUUUAUUAAAAAUCCUUUUUAAACUAUUAUUUUGGGGCCAAAACCGUCGCACUUUUAAGUCCCAUUUUAGGCCCAUUUUGCUUUAUUUAUUUUUCUAAAAAUAAAAAACUCAUUUAACUCAUUUUCACUUAAAACAAACCAAAAUUCAUUUUAUAAAUUCGUAAUUUUAUUGUUUUCAAAAAAAUGGGGGCGCAACAACCCUCUUAAGUUUAUUUUUCUUAACAGGAAUUUGAAGUGGAAAGAUUUUGGAGAAGCUGGCUUUGAUUGUCCUUUGGUCCAUUUGGGGAUGUAAAUGAUUUAGUCAACUUUUAGUGGUUGUAUUUUGGAAAAAUUGAUGUAACUUUUGAAAAUAUUAUGAUGUAGAACUGGAUGACUAUUGAAUGAAGCGACUUUUCUUUAUAUUAGUUUUCGUAUUGCUUGAUUAGUUCUAAGUUAUACUCUUAGCUUGUAUCGAGUCCUGGUGAGAGCUAGGCAGGCGGUCCGCCGAAACCCUAGGGUUCGCCCUAAAGUGAAGUGGGGUCGUCACAGUUGGUAUCAGAGCUUUAGGCUUCAGAUCUUUGUAGUAUAUCCUAGGCUUGAAAUUUAGGAUGCCGGACUGUGGGAUUAACUUGAAUAUUACAUGAACUGGAUAACCUACUAUAUCCUAGUGGUUAAAGAGAAUUGUUACGUGAGAGUUUCUUAUAUGGAAUUGGUGAAAACAAAACUGAGAAAUUAUGUGGUGCUACAUCGAAAGAAAACAUUAUGUGAGAGAUUAGUAGUGAAAGAUUGAAUGAGAUUCAAAAUAUCUUUGUACUUGUAGGAAUGGAAGGAAUUGAUGCAAAUAUUGGUAUUAGUUAUAGGAGAUAAGAAACCGAGAUUUGCUAGUUAAUUCCAUAUAUGAUGGUUUUGAACCAAAACAAAAGCAUUUUCAAGGGAAUAAAAUGCAUUUUUCAUUUGUUUACCUACUAGAAAAUUUCCACUUUACUAAGAUGUAUUAGUUUUAUUUUCAAACGGUAGUUGGAAAUAACACCUAUGUGCUCCAAGUACUUUAUAACAUACCAAUCUUGACAAGUAUGUGAAUUCCACUUAAUUUACAAAACUAGAAAUUGGUGAGCAAUUGAUGAGUUUUGUUGGAUUUUUAUAUAUGUUGAACCCAAGAAAGAGGUUGAAUUUUUCUAACCAAAUCUUCCAAUUCUUGAAUGACACUGAUAUAUUCUCGCACCUGAAUUUCCCUAUGCUUUGAACAAGAAAUCCUUGAGUUUUUGGAAGAAUUGGGAACUUGGGCUCUGGUAAUGUAAAUCCUGAACUUGAUGAGAUUUUAUUACUUUGAUUGCUCUUCUUAGCAUUUUCAAAAAACUUAUCCGAGAUUUGAAUAUGAAAUUCUUGGUUUUCAAGGAGAGAGCUUAUCUUCAAGUGUAAGAACUGAGGGAGCUUUGAAGAUGUAGAGUGAUUGCAUCCGAGAGCCUGAAGUUAGUGUGACCGAGGAGUAAGAGAGUACUAAUGAUUUCGUAGAUAGUUCUAGGAGUUCCAUAACUGCAUUGACUAAAGGGAAAGACAACUAAGAUAUAAAAUAGAGAGGCUAAAGUUUGAUAAAGUGUAAUGACGAAGGUUAGGACAUGAAGGAUCUGAGUGCUAGAUCUAAAGCUGAACAAAUUGAAGAGAUUGGAAUUAUGAAGAUUGUCGUAGCCUAGGCGAGUAAAUCCCUGGUUAAGGUUUCUAUCGAUGGUUGUUCGAUUUGAAAUUUAAUGUUUGUCUUGAAUGUGUAUUGUGCUAGUACUGCAGACUUGCUUAAUUUCUGAUAUCUUUGGAUAUUUCUUGUUAUAUGUUUACUUGUACCUGUUGUGAUCGUAUACAUCAAUCUUGUGAAAUCUGAUAAUUGUACUUUGAAUUAUGAUUGACUUUGCAUCUAUGAUUACGUGAUCCUUGCCCUUUUAUACCUAUAUGGCCUUAGACUUGUGUGAGAAAUGGAAACCGGAGAAUGGCGUUGAGAAUAUAGGUAGUAUAGAGUACGGUUUAAAGAUAUAUGUUGAAUAUAUUGGUGUCUGAUCAUGAUUUGAGUUAGUCAUUGUUUGGGGUGCAAAGUAACUUGAUAAUUCACUUUAGUCAAUGGGACGAAUGAAUGUUAGUAUUGAUGAUUUAGUACUCUAUUUACGCUUGAACAUAAUGGUCUGUGUAUAAAGAUGAUCCAGGUUUAAGAGUUGUAAACUUUCACUUGUGUGUUGGUGAAAGACUUUUGUCCUAUGAGUAGUAGUUAAGUUUCAAUGAUCCAUGAGUAAACGGGAAUGUAAAUUGGUUCUUCGAGUCUUAGAUAUAAGCUAGAUAGUUUAUGGGAAGAAAUUUAAUCUAUCUUUUGACAAUGGAACCUGUUAUACCUGACUUUAAAAUAAUAAUAAUAAUAAUAAUAAUAAUGAUAAAUUCAAAAAUUUUCAAUUUGAUAAUAUAUUUCUUUGCCUUUCUACGUCUUUUAGAUACUGAUAUUUAAAUUUGCUAUAAAUGAGCUUGUAAAAGUAAUUUAAAAAUUUUGAUCUUGUUUUUUCUUGUUUAAGUUAUUUGGGUAAUUCUCUUGUACGGUAUUUUCAUGAAAUUUGAGUUAUAAAGAUCAUAUCUUUUAUAAAAGAAAAUGUUUUAUCCAAGUAUUUUAUGUCCUUCCCAUCUUAACUUUUCACUUUAGAGUUAACUAAGAGAGUCUCUUUGCAAACAACCAAGAAUUUAAGAAUUUAUUCUUAUGAGUGUUAUUUUGAAAAUUUUAUAUCUUUCUCUUAAAAACUUCAAACAUUUUUAUUUUUGUUAUAAAGUAUAUUUUCUUUGUGGAGAGGAAUGAACUCAAGAGCCUUAUUAUAUCUUAUGUAAGGUUUGAAUUUAUUGGAGUAAUUGACUAGAGGAGUAUGAUAAGAUAUUAUUGAGUUUAAGGUUUAUCCUUUAGUGUUUUGAUAUUUGUAUAUAUUUGUAUGGAACUGGAUGUGAUUGUUUUUAAGUUAUCGAUUACUUGAGAUUUCUUUCUAACCGUUUUGAAAGAUUAAUAGGGUUAAGACCCAGUAGGACAAAAUUACUGCGUUGUUAAUAUCUUAUAGAAUUUGAUAUACGAGACAUUAAAGUUCAUUGAGAGUACUUAGGGACCAUUGGAAUAUUGAGAUAAGGAUUACAUGAUUUGUUUUUGGAUUGGAAUACGUAGAUUGACAAAUUUCUUGAGGUGAUUUUUAUCACUUAUGAUUGGCUUAUUAAUGAGGUAAUUGAAUUUGCGAAAACUCAUGAAAAGAUUUAAGGAUACAUGACUUACGUGAUAUCUAGUAUGGAAUAGGUUUUACAAUUCUUAAGAACGGGACGCAGAAGAGAUAUCUGGAGUCUUCGAGCUAAGGUGAGAAUUUCGAGGACGAAAUUCUUUAAAAGGGGAGAGGAUGUGAUGAUCCAGAAAAUUAUUUUUCUCACCUCCCAACUAUUUGCAUCUCUAUUUAAAUUAAAUUUUUGUAAAAUUUUCAUUCAUUAAGUGAUUUACUUGUUAAUUGAUAAAUGAUUUUCUUUUACUUGCUUCUUUUAACUUUCGAGUGAUUAAUUUCUUAAAAAUUGUUAAUUUCGUGACUUAUUAGUGAAUUUGGCCAAAAUCCUAGAAAGAUGUGAGGGCUCUAAAAUUUUAUUAUUUUUGAAAGGUAAAUAAUAAUGAUAGAAAUAUUUAUAUUAUGUGAUUUUUUCAAAUUUUUGGUAUUCUCAUUUAUUAAAAUGUCAUUUUUCAACUUAGUCGAAUUUUUAUUAUUAAUUUCCCGAUUAUUGUUGGGCUAGCAUUAAGUGCGAAAUUUUGGAGUGGUGACAUGGAAUUUAGUUUUAAGAUGAAAUUUAGAGCAUGUAGAGAUUUUAAAGAAAUAGAAAAAUGAUAGGAUAAUGUCGGAUGGAGGAAAUCUAGUUAUAGAUAAGAUGUUGCAUGAGAAUGCGACACAUAAGCGAGUAGGUGAGAUGGUUCCCUACCACACUUUAAAGGAAGAAACUAGACUUGAGAGUUCAUUCUCUCUUUUCCCCUUCGAGCCAACCGAAAUUUUAGAAAGAGAGAGAGACUUGAGAGAUCUCCAUUUCCUCCUUCAUCUUACUCUUGAAGAUCACUUGAAAACCCAUGACCCACCACAAUUUUUCCUCUUGUUUUUUCUUCUUCUCUUGUUGAGGGAGAGAGAGAAAGCUGAGAGAGAGAGAGAGAGACCAAGAAAGAAGGGACACCAUCUCUUAAAGUUAUAUCUCUAGAUGUUCUAGUGAUUAAAAUGCUAGUUUAGCUCUUAAUUUGUUGGUUGGAUUUGUUUGAAAAUUAUCUUUUGAUGACCAAGGGCAAUUGAUUGAUGAAGCCCAUAUGGAUUUGAGUGAGUUUUGUUGACUAGAUGGUUGUUUUGUUGAUGAAAAUGGAAAAAAACCCCAUGCCCACCAAGUGUUUGAUCUUUUGUUAAGGGUUGUUUACAUGCAAAUUUUCAUGGUUCUUUUUGUUAGUAAUCUUGGCUAUAUAUUAUUUGAUAUGUUCAGGGAUUUGUUAUGGAAAAAAAUUGGGAAGAUUUGAUGGGAAAAAUAUUUGGAAAGUUCUUGUUAGAAAGUUUGUAAAAUGGACUGAAACUUUGAGUGCAUUUUCAGUCAACUUGUCAGAUUUUCUGGUACUGAUUGAAAACGAAUUAGAGUCUAAAUUUUAUACCGUUGGAAAGCCCUUUGAGUCUAGUUUCAACGCCACCAACGGAUUUUUCUACGUUGAGUUAUAGCCGUUUUCCCGAGAUUGCUCAAAUGCCCUAUUAUGACGCGACAGCUUUCUUGUGCCUCUGUGAUUGCUAUUUUUGACCAUGAAAAUGUGUAAACUGAAUUUUGAUGUCUUCAUAAGAAACAUAGAGCUAUGUUUGAGUUUCGAAACGCCAUAAACCAUUUCCAAUUUUGACUUGUGUAGCGUUAGUUAUAGCCUGAUUUCAAAACUAUGCCAAAGCUUUAUGACUGAGAAUCCGCGGAACAGGUUGCCAAAAAACCAGUUUUCUUAAAUCCGUUGUAUCUUGGUGUUGGAAAAUCCGAAUUGACUUCUGCUUAUUGCAUUUGAAACUUGACUUGAAUUUCUUUCUGAGUUAUAAAUUUCAAAGGCUAAUUCAAUUCUUGUGAAUUUUGCCGUAUUUUCAAACUUUACUAAAAAUCAAGACUGUUUCUGCCCUGUUUUAAUAAAACAGCAAGUUUGAGCUGAGAAUCGAAUGAUUUUUGAUUGGAAUCUGAGAAAAGUUCUUCUGGAAAAUUUUAGUACUUUGAAUCUAGUUUCCAACGGUGUAAAUUUUCCAAUUUUUGGACUUACCAAACUCAAGAUAUGAAUUUUCAAGUGUUUUCGCAAAAAGCUGGAAAUUUCUGAUUUCCAACAAAAUAAACUUUUUUGAGCUUCCGACUUUCUUUUGAGAUUGAUAGUUCAUUUUCAAACUUGAUUUCAUGGAUGAUACAAGUUCUCUUGUGACUUUAAACCUUCAUUUUGAAUCUUGAUUUUCGAUGGAGUAAAACACUUUUGAGGCAUUGUCCUAAGUUCUAAGCAAAUGAACUUUCUUCUUUGUAUGCUCAAUGACCUAGGGUAUCGUGAGUGAUGGUUGGUUAUAUUUCUUCAGGUGCUCAAGAGGGUUUCGAAAGAAAUCCCAGUGAGGAAAUUUAAAGAAAUUUCUUACUCACUUGCUUUUGAAAUUGGUGAGUGUCAAGUGCAUGACUUGUUCCACAAUACUUGAACUGUUUCUUGUUGAAUAUGUGAAUUGGACUUGUUGAGACGAGUGUGUGCUUUAUCGCACCCGUUCUCUUUUACUUGACUUGAUAAUUGACCUGCUCGUACUUGACAAUUAUACGUGUGAUUGACUUAGCGUCGAUUUGAAAGCAAUCUCGUCGACUUAUACUUGAACUUGUGGGGACGCCCAAAACUAAUGGCUAGCCAUUCAACUCAAGCUAGCAUGGGUUUGGUUGAAGAGUUUGGUAAACCUUGGACACAUACUUGACUUGGAUAUACUCGAAUAAUAUUAAAAACUUGUUUGACUUGCAGGCCCGGUAGGGGGUGUAACGGUGGACAGAAAUUUGGUGAAAAGUGGGGUUUUACGGACUUGAUACUUGCUCGGUUGACGAAGUGUCAACAUUUGAAAUUUUGGAUCAAGACCUUGGCAAAGCAGUGUGGAGUUAGCUCCUAAGAGCUUCUGUAUCCUUUAAUGAUUGUGUCUUGAUUUCUUUUGUGAAUUACAUGAAUAUUAUGUGACUGCCUUUCUGUUAUAAGUUUAAUACUUGUUAUACUUGCUUGCUUGCCUGUUUUCUUUUUUGGCCUCACUGAGCGUUAGAUUACCCCCGUAAGUUUGUUUUCUUUAGCAAGAACUUGAAGUGAAAAGAUUUUGGAGAAGCUGGCUUUGAUCGUCUUUUGGUCCAUUUGGGGAUGUAAAUGAUUUAGUCAACUUUUGGUGGUUAAAUUUUGGAAAAAUUGAUGUAACUUUUGAAAAUAUUAUGAUGUAGAACUGGAUGACUAUUGAAGGAAGCGACUUUUUUUUA